UAAGGCAGCAAAUAACUAUGCAAAACUAAGCUAAACUACUUUCCUCUUAUACAUGAUACACAAUAUUUACUUUCCUAACACCCAGUACCUCUGCUCUCUGCUCUUUGCGCCUUCGCCAAAUCCCCUUCCAGACUUGGCAGUUCUGGUAUUCCUCUAAAAACCCCAUUUCUUUCUCCCCAAACAAAGAAAACACUAUGAAUCAUUCAAAGAAAAGACUAGCCUCAAUCAGAAGCAGCAAAGGGAAAAGAGACCAAUGGCAGCCCACAGGUCCUUGCAGAUUCCGGCAACUUCCACCUACUUUAGUCAUGAACAUUCUCUCCAGGCUCUCCCCAAACACCCUCUUCAGCUGCAGGUGCGUUUGCAAAUCAUGGCUUUUUAUGAUUUCCGACCCUCAUUUCAAUCGUCUCCACCAUUCAAGAUCACCCAUGGGAAUCUUGAUCCAGACCUAUCCUCAUCGCCAUAAUUGGAAAUCAAGGAAAUUAGAUUUCACCCAGAUACUAGAAUGUGCUGGUCCUGAUUUGCAGCUAGAGAAAAUGAGUUUUCGUCCCAAAAUUAGCAUACCCCUCAUUGGUGACAGAACUGAUCCGACUGUGGAAUAUGGUCUGAUAAACUCGUGCAACGGAUUACUCUGUUUGUGUGGACCUCAAAAUAAUAAACUUUUGUAUGUGUGCAAUCCCAUUUUGGGUGAGUUCAUCGCCACUCCACCUCUUGAUACCGGUGUUAAGCUCAGCUCUUUCGUUGGACUUGGUUUUAGUGCUGCUACCAAUGAGUACAAGGUACUUAACACUAGCUGUUCGCGUCGGGCGCAGAUGUACACCAUUGGAACAGGAGUGUGGAGAGACAUUGGAAAGCCUCCUUAUGGCGCUGUGUGAUCGCCAUUCAAUGCUUUUCUACAUGGAGCUCUUCAUUGGGCUACGCAGUAUUGGACUGGUGAUGAAUUUAUGCAUUCAUUCAACUUCGAAACAGAAAAGUUUGAAACAAUACCCCCACCUAGCCACUUUGCCCCAAAAGAUAAACUUAAAGAGUGGUUGACCUUGGGGGUGUUGGAAGGUUGUCUCCUGUUAUGUGUGUUUGAUGAUGAUUUUAGCAAAUUUGAAAUGUGGAUUAUGAGAGAUUAUGGUGUCCAAGACUCUUGGACGAAGAUUUUUGUUAUUGAAAACUUGUACCCAAGAAGAUAUCAACCUGAAGAGUAUGGACCAAUUAUGUUUUUGAGUAAUGGUGAAAUUCUAAUGUCCUAUGGUGUUGGUGCUGUGGUUUGUUAUAACCCAGAAACAAAGAGUUUCAGGAAAACUAGUAUUUCUCCGACUGAGUCAGAAUUUGUUGCAGUUGCCUACAGUCCAUCAUUUGUUUCACUUUACGAUAUUGCAAAAGGAGAGGAGGUGGAAAGGAUAAGAAACAAUGAGAAUUUCAACAAGCUGUUUAAUGAAGGGAGACGUAGUGCUGCUGGUUCUGGAAUGUCAGCCCACCAGUGCACAAAUCUAAACCCAGGCUCUUGCCCACCUGGUGUUGAAGAGGCUCUCCCUAAACCUAUUAUUACAACUUCCUCUGCAACUGUAAGCUGUCCAAUUUAUUUUCUUGUGCCAGUGUUUGGUUGGGAGUGUUUUCCUGAAAGUAUCUGAUUAAUUAUUGUUGUUACCAUCUCCUUUUGCUGAAUGAUAUUUUUUCGCAUCAUUUCCCUAGAGCAAUGAGCAAGUGGAUUUUGCUCUGAGGAUUGGGAGUAAGUGCGCUAUAUGUAGUGGGCAAUUGGGUUAUGUUUUCAGAGGUAAAGGGUUCGCAAUGUGUCAAAAAUGUUUUGAUGCUAGUUCCUCUUGAGAAAUCUUCAAUUCCUUUUCGUAAGGCAGCAAAAGGCUUCUUUUUGGUACUUACAUCCCUCACUGUAACUCUAUCUCUACAGAGCUGGUGAUGAUGAACUUUUGUUAUGUUUAGAUUUAUUAUUUUGCAAGUACUUGUUGACUAUGCAAUUAUGCAUUUCCCUAUUUUGCAAGUCCUUUAGCUAAAAUAUUCCAAUGGCUUCAUUUACAUGAACAUUAAGUGUACUAUAAAGUUUAAGAUCCUGAACUGUACUAUAAAGUAUUAUGCAAAAGUUUACAAGUCUUUGCGACCUUUUUGUUGUGCUUCUUGGAUUAUUUCCUUAAUACUAAAUGUGGCUAAUUUUUAUUUCGGCCUACUAUAAUUUCAAUAUGGCAUUGUUUUGAAGGUCUUAUAGUAAUGUUAUUGGGUUUACUGUUUGAAUCAAUGUUAUUGCUCUGAAAUUCAUCCUUCUAAUAGGAAAUUGUCAUUAUUGGUAAUGGAUCUUAUGGCCUGCUCGGGGUUUGAUUGGAAUUGUAGUUAAAAGUGGUGAUGCCAUGAAUCCCCUGCUGGUUAAAACUUAUAAGCCGUCAUUGCUGAUAUGUGCUGCCUCUACUCUGUUCUGGUUUGCAUCAUUUGCUGAUAAGUGUCUAGUUGUUUCCUCCACAGACAUGGAUCAUCUAUUGGCUACAACUGCUUGGUUUUAGUUGUUUUUAAAGUUCUUAGUUCUAACUAAAGUUGGCACUUGUUUAUUCAAUAAAUUUAGUUCACUGCUGAAAAAUAAACUUUGUGUGUGUGUGUGUCUAGAAUGGGUAAUAUUGAAUUUUUGUUGAAUUAGCAAUGUGUUUUCUGGUUUAAACUUUGGAAAUCUUGGCCAAAUAUUGUAAAUGUCAGCCUAUACUGACAACAAUUUUGCUUGGUAACCAUUUCGGUUCUUUGUUAGGUAACCAUUCCAUUGUUUUUGGUUUUCAACUUUUCAUUAUCUGCUUGACGGAUAUUGGGAAAUACAUGAAAGAAAUGAGGGGUAAAAAUAAAAAACAGAAGUGAGGAAGAAAUGGGAAGUACUUGCAAAAUCGUGAAAUUGGUACCAUCCACGGGACAACGUUGUAUUGCGUUUGAAAUUGUUCUCAGCCUUUGAUACCAAUUACAAUCUUCAACUAUGUUACGCAUGGAUCUGGAUUUGUUGCAAGAACAGCAUUCGAUUAGAUUAUGCUUUUUACUAUGAUUGGUUGCUGAUAAUGAAGAUCUAUAGAUGAUCUUAUUAUCAAGAUAAAACAAAAUAGCAUGUACGUUGUAUGUAAGAACUAAAUGGACCUAUCAUCAUCUAUUAUGCAGAAUGCAAAUUGGAUUAUAACUUGAUUCAUUAAUAGGAGUUGUAAGCUAAGUACAAUACCUAGAAACCUAUUGAGAUAAUUAUAUCAACUCAUUGGUUAGGAAUCCAUUAGUUGGUUUACAUAGUAAUCCGAUUUAGUGUUGCAUUAGGUUUUCUAAUUGUUGGUGACUUGGUUUCUAAGAAACAUCUUUAUGGGAGGAUUCUUAGGAAUAUAGCCGAUAUAUAUAGAAGUGUUGGUCCCUGCUCUCUCUGUCACAAAGCAUUAAGUCCUGCCCCAUAUAAAGGAGCUUGAAUCCAGAGCUGAGGAGAAGAUCAAUCUGCGUUCGUUGUCAAGUUCAUUAGUGCUACAGCAAUGGCUCCUAAUAAGAAGGAAUCACCUACAUGAAUUUGAACAAUAUCCAGAUGCUUACUGGAUCAAACUUUAAGGCCUGGAAGAGUGGUGUAGAGUUCUACCUAAUGAUGCAUGACAACAUGGAUUUGUGUUUUACUGAUAUAGAGCCUUAUGGAGUAGAUGCAACUAGCUCAUCCGAUGACAUGAAAUAUUAUCGAGACUGGCAUAGAUCCAAUUAUAGGGCUAAGAAUGUAAUGAGAACUACCAUGUCUGAUACUGUGAGGGGUAGUAUUGAAGAGCCUGUUUUGGCAGUUGACUAUAUGGAAGCAAUAGCUGAAAAAUUCAAGGAAAGCAAUAAGGCUGAGGCAGCUAGACUUUCCAAGGAGAUGAAUGAGUUGAAGUAUACUGGUAGUGGGGGUGUUAGGCAGCAUAUCUUGAAGCUCACUGAGCUUAACACUAGGCUCAGGGAUUUAGAUCUGGGAGUCAAGGAUGACCAACUUGUCCACAAUGCCUUAGAUUCUCUACCAUCUAGCUUCAAUACCUUAAGAACUAGCUACAAUGCACAGAAGGAGAGCUGGACCUUGAAUGAGCUGAUAGCUAUUUGCGUGGAUGAGGAGAGUAGAAUGAAGAAAGAGAAGCAGCCCUCUACCUCUGUCAAUUUAGUUGAAAAGCCAAAGAAACAGAACAAAUUCAAGCCUAAGAAAGCUAUAGCCAAGCCAUCAGGAAAUACUGCAGCAGCUAAAGUCAACAGGCCAUUUAAGUUCAAGUGCUAUUUUUGUAAGAAAGUAGGACACAUGAAGAAGGACUGUACAUGAUUUAAGGCAUGGCUUGUGAAAAAGGGGAUUCAUAGGGAUGAGGAAGCCAAGAAGUGAUGAAGCUAACAUCUGCGUUGGAAAUGGAAUGAGGGUUGCAGUCAAGGCCGUAGGAUCUUUAAGACUAGAUUUGGGAUUAGGAAAAUUUCUGGUUUUAGAUAGUGUUUAUUACAUUCCCUCAAUUAAGAGGAAUUUGCUUUCAGUUAGACUUUUGGUUAAAAGUGGAUGUAAUUUUUACAUUGGUUCUAAUGGAAUAAAAAUUUUCAAGGAUUCU